rnacentral:misc_RNA from 1 species
GCUAUCGGAUCGUUUUAGAAACAUCAGUGGCCAACAAUCGUCAGGAUUGUUGAGCUGCAUUGGCGGGAUUUCGCCGUCUUCGUUUCUCUUUCUUCGCGGACGAACACGCGCUGGGGCUGCAACCUUGCAGGAUCCCUGGUCCUUAACAGGAUAUGCGUUAGGGGCUUGUAGCUCAGUUGGUUAGAGCGCGCGCUUGAUAAGCGUGAGGUCGGAAGUUCAAGUCUUCCCAGGCCCACCACACUCAUCGGGUAAGCAUUCGUCUUCUGGUUACGGGGCCAUAGCUCAGCUGGGAGAGCGCGUGCUUUGCAAGCAUGAGGUCGUCGGUUCGAUCCCGUCUGGCUCCACCAGAUGGUUUGAUCACCAACGGCAUGAUGACCGUCGUCCGCGAAACAUCACUUCGCACCCACUAGUCCGGAUGGACGGUGUGGUUGCGUGAUUUCUGACAUCGUAAAGAGGAGAUCGAUCCGAGUUGGAUCGUGCAGCAAGCAAUUGUCGCGCGAUACUUCAUUAUCUCCGGAUCAUUUCGGCGCUUGCUUCGCCCUUCAAGGUCAAACUUGAGAGACGAUGCGAGUUGUAAAUGAUCCUUUUAGCGAAGCUUGACCGCCUCGCUAUCGGAACGAUCUUACGAAGCAAGCUGGUCUUUCUAAUCAUUGUCCGGCUGUGAGAUAGCGUUCAUCGAGGGCGCGUGCCGCAAGGCAGUUCUUACAGACAACAUUCUGCCGAGUGUGUGGACAUUGAUAAUGAGAGCAAUCAAGUGCCUUAAGGGUGUUCGGUGGAUGCCUUGGCGCUGAGAGGCGAUGAAGGACGUGCUACGCUGCGAUAAGCCGU